rnacentral:rRNA from 1 species
GACGCUGGCGGCGUGCUUAACACAUGCAAGUCGAACGGUAAGGCCCUUCGGGGUACACGAGUGGCGAACGGGUGAGUAACACGUGGGUGAUCUGCCCUGCACUUCGGGAUAAGCCUGGGAAACUGGUCUAAUACCGGAUAGGACCAUGGACUUCACGGUUUGUGGUGGAAAGCUUUUGCGGUGUGGGAUGGGCCCGCGGCCUAUCAGCUUGUUGGUGGGGUAAUGGCCUACCAAGGCGACGACGGGUAGCCGGCCUGAGAGGGUGUCCGGCCACACUGGGACUGAGAUACGGCCCAGACUCCUACGGGAGGCAGCAGUGGGGAAUAUUGCACAAUGGGCGCAAGCCUGAUGCAGCGACGCCGCGUGAGGGAUGACGGCCUUCGGGUUGUAAACCUCUUUCAAUAGGGACGAAGCGCAAGUGACGGUACCUAUAGAAGAAGCACCGGCCAACUACGUG